rnacentral:rRNA from 1 species
UGGGGAAUUUUGGACAAUGGGCGAAAGCCUGAUCCAGCAAUGCCGCGUGUGUGAAGAAGGCCUUCGGGUUGUAAAGCACUUUUGUCCGGAAAGAAAUCCUUGGCUCUAAUACAGUCGGGGGAUGACGGUACCGGAAGAAUAAGCACCGGCUAACUACGUGCCAGCAGCCGCGGUAAUACGUAGGGUGCAAGCGUUAAUCGGAAUUACUGGGCGUAAAGCGUGCGCAGGCGGUUUGCUAAGACCGAUGUGAAAUCCCCGGGCUCAACCUGGGAACUGCAUUGGUGACUGGCAGGCUAGAGUAUGGCAGAGGGGGGUAGAAUUCCACGUGUAGCAGUGAAAUGCGUAGAGAUGUGGAGGAAUACCGAUGGCGAAGGCAGCCCCCUGGGCCAAUACUGACGCUCAUGCACGAAAGCGUGGGGAGCAAACAGGAUUAGAUACCCUGGUAGUCCACGCCCUAAACGAUGUCAACUAGUUGUUGGGGAUUCAUUCUUAGUAACGUAGCUAACGCGUGAAGUUGACCGCCUGGGGAGUACGGUCGCAAGAUUAAAACUCAAAGGAAUUGACGGGGUCAUAGCUG